rnacentral:rRNA from 1 species
CCUACGGGAGGCAGCAGUGGGGAAUAUUGCAGAAUGGGCGAAAGCCUGAUGCAGCAACGCCGCGUGAGUGAUGAAGGCCUUCGGGUCGUAAAGCUCUUUGAUCAGGUGAUAAUGACAGUACCUGAAAAACAAGCCACGGCUAACUACGUGCCAGCAGCCGCGGUAA